GACGAACGCUGGCGGCGUGCUUAACACAUGCAAGUCAAGGGGGCCCAGUAGCAAUACUGGGCAACCGGCGAACGGGUGCGUAACACGUGAGCAACCUACCGAAAUGUGGGGGAUAGCCGGCCUAACGGCCGAGUAAUACCGCAUACGCUCUCGAUGAGGCAUUUCAUUGAGAGGAAACCUACGGGACAUUUCGAGGGGCUCGCGGCCUAUCAGCUAGUUGGCGAGGUAACGGCUCACCAAGGCAACGACGGGUAGCUGGUCUGAGAGGAUGGCCAGCCACAUUGGGACUGAGAUACGGCCCAGACUCCUACGGGAGGCAGCAGUGGGGAAUCUUGCGCAAUGGCCUAACGGCUGACGCAGCGACGCCGCGUGUAGGAUGAAGCUCUUCGGAGUGUAAACUACUGUUGCCCGGGACGAAUAGCUCGAUUAAUCGAGCCUGACGGUA
rnacentral:rRNA from 1 species